rnacentral:miRNA from 12 species
UUCUCGUGUGUGUGUGUGUGUGUGUGUGUGUGUGUGUGUAUAUACACACACACUACACAUUAAUCUAGAUAUUUAUGCAC